rnacentral:rRNA from 1 species
UACGUAGGGGGCUAGCGUUGUCCGGAAUCAUUGGGCGUAAAGCGCGUGUAGGCGGCCCGGUAAGUCCGCUGUGAAAGUCGGGGGCUCAACCCUCGAAUGCCGGUGGAUACUGUCGGGCUCGAGUGCGGGAGAGGCGAGUGGAAUUCCUGGUGUAGCGGUGAAAUGCGCAGAUAUCAGGAGGAACACCGAUUGCGAAGGCAGCUCGCUGGAACGUUACUGACGCUGAGACGCGAAAGCGUGGGGAGCAAACAGG